GACGAACGCUGGCGGCGUGCUUAACACAUGCAAGUCGAACGGAAAGGCCCUGCUUGCAGGGUACUCGAGUGGCGAACGGGUGAGUAACACGUGGGUGAUCUGCCCUGCACUUCGGGAUAAGCCUGGGAAACUGGGUCUAAUACCGGAUAUGACCUUCCAUGUAGUGUGGGGGGUGGAAAGAUUUAGCGGUGUGGGCUGAGCCCGCGGCCUAUCAGCUUGUUGGUGGGGUAAUGGCCUACCAAGGCGUCGACGGGUAGCCGGCCUGAGAGGGUGGACGGCCACAUUGGGACUGAGAUACGGCCCAGACUCCUACGGGAGGCAGCAGUGGGGAAUAUUGCACAAUGGGCGGAAGCCUGAUGCAGCGACGCCGCGUGGGGGAUGACGGCCUUCGGGUUGUAAACCUCUUUCGACAGGGACGAAGCUUCGGUGACGGUACCUGUAUAAGAAGCACCGGCUAACUACGUG
rnacentral:rRNA from 1 species